CCCUUAGAUGUCCUGGACCGCACGCGCGUUGCACUGAUGCAUUCAACGAGCUUAUAACCUUGGCCGAGAGGCCUGGGCAAUCUUGUUAACGUGCAUCGUGAUAGGGAUAGAUUAUUGAAAUUAUUAAUCUUGAACGAGGAAUUCCUAGUAAACGCAGAUCAUCAAUCUGCAUUGAUUACGUCCCUGCCCUUUGUACACACCGCCCGUCGCACCUACCGAUUGGAUGGUCCGGUGAAGCCUCGGGAUUGUGGUUCUUGCCGCUUUAUUGUGGCGUGACCGCGAGAACUUGUCUAAACCUUAUCAUCUAGAGGAAGGUGAAGUCGUAACA
rnacentral:rRNA from 1 species